AGUGAACGCUGGCGGUAGGCCUAACACAUGCAAGUCGAACGGCAGCACAGUAAGAGCUUGCUCUUACGGGUGGCGAGUGGCGGACGGGUGAGGAAUACAUCGGAAUCUACUUUUUCGUGGGGGAUAACGUAGGGAAACUUACGCUAAUACCGCAUACGACCUACGGGUGAAAGCAGGGGAUCUUUGGACCUUGCGCGAUUGAAUGCGCCGAUGUCGGUUUAGCUAGUUGGCGGGGUAAAGGCCCACCAAGGCGACGAUCCGUAGCUGGUCUGAGAGGAUGAUCAGCCACACUGGAGCUGAGACACGGUCCAGACUCCUACGGGAGGCAGCAGUGGGGAAUAUUAGACAAUGGGCGCAAGCCUGGUCCAGCCAUACCGCGUGGGUGAAAAAGGCCUUCGGUUUGUAAAGCCCUUUUGUGGGGAAAGAAAAGCAGCAGGUUAAUACCCCGCUGUUCUGACGGUACCCAAAGAAUAAGCACCGGCUAACUUCGUG
rnacentral:rRNA from 1 species